rnacentral:rRNA from 1 species
AUUGAACGCUGGCGGCAUGCUUUACACAUGCAAGUCGAACGGUAACAGGUUAAGCUGACGAGUGGCGAACGGGUGAGUAAUGCAUCGGAACGUGCCCGGUCGUGGGGGAUAACGCAGCGAAAGCUGCGCUAAUACCGCAUACGAUCUGAGGAUGAAAGCGGGGGACCGUAAGGCCUCGCGCGAUCGGAGCGGCCGAUGACAGAUUAGGUAGUUGGUGUGGUAAAGGCUCACCAAGGCAACGAUCUGUAGCGGGUCUGAGAGGACGACCAGCCACACUGGGAGUGAGACACGGCCCGGACUCCUACGGGAGGCAGCAGUGGGGAAUUUUGGACAAUGGGCGAAAGCCUGAUCCAGCAAUGCCGCGUGCAGGAAGAAGGCCUUCGGGUUGUAAACUGCUUUUGUACGGAGCGAAAAGGUCUCCUCUAAUACAGGGGGCUCAUGACGGUACCGUAAGAAUAAGCACCGGCUAACUACGUGCCAGCAGCCGCUGUAA